rnacentral:misc_RNA from 1 species
GGAAGGAUCAUUACCGAAUUGUCAAACGGGUUGUUGCUGGUCCUCAAACGGGGACAUGUGCACGCUCUGUUUACACAUCCACUCACACCUGUGCACCCUCCGUAGUUCUAUGGUCUGGGGGACCCCGUCUUCCUGCCGUGGUUCUGCGUCUUUACACACACGCUGUAACAAAGUCUUAUGGAAUGUAUGCCGCGUCUAACGCAAUACAAUACAACUUUCAGCAACGGAUCUCUUGGCUCUCGCAUCGAUGAAGAACGCAGCGAAAUGCGAUAAGUAAUGUGAAUUGCAGAAUUCAGUGAAUCAUCGAAUCUUUGAACGCACCUUGCGCCCCUUGGCUAUUCCGAGGGGCAUGCCUGUUUGAGUAUCAUGAACACCUCAACUCUCAUGGUUUGCCAUGAUGAGCUUGGACUCUGGGGGUUUUGCUGGCCUGUGGUCGGCUCCCCUCAAAUGAAUCAGCCUCCCAGUGUUUGGUGGCAUCACGGGUGUGAUAAAUAUCUACGCUCAUGGUCGUCUGCCAGGUAACCUUUGGUGACAAAGGUUUGCUGGAGCUCAUAGAUGUCUCUUCUCAGUGAGGACAGCUUUUUGAACGUUCGAUCUCAAAUCAGGUAGGACUACCCGCUGAACUUAAGCAUAUCAA